GACGAACGCUGGCGGCGUGCCUAAUACAUGCAAGUCGAACGAGUGGCGGACGGGUGAGUAAUGUAUGGGGAUCUGCCUGAUGGAGGGGGAUAACUACUGGACACGGUAGCUAAUACCGCAUACCAUCAGAUGAACCCAUAUGGGAUUAGCUUGUAGGUGAGGUAACGGCUCACCUAGGCGACGAUCCCUAGCCGACCUGAGGGGGUGAGCGGCCACACUGGGACUGAGACACGGCCCAGACUCCUACGGGAGGCAGCAGUAGGGAAUCUUCGGCAAUGGACGAAAGUCUGAUGCAGCCAUGCCGCGUGUAUGAAGAAGGCCUUCGGGUUGUAAAGUACUUUCAGUCGGGAGGCGUUACCGACAGAAGAAGCACCGGCUAACUCCGUGCCAGCAGCCGCGGUAAUUC
rnacentral:rRNA from 1 species